GCCAGCAUAGCUCAGUUGGUAGAGCCACUGAUUUGUAAUCAGUAGGUCGGGGGUUCGAGUCCCUCUGCUGGCUCAA
rnacentral:tRNA from 2 species